UCUCCCCUCUGAUAUGUUCUGGAGGCUGGGACAGCGAAGUCCGUGCAUGCUCGGCGACUAUUUCGGUUUUUGCUGGGUGUUUCUCGUUGCGCCUGUUGUAGUUAUUCUGCUCGCAAUGUCCACGAAUGCUGGCGAUAGUGAGGAUGCGAAAUAUGCAUCUGUUGAUUUCGAAAUAUUUGGAAACGUGCAGGGUGUGUGCUUCAGAAUGUAUACUGAGGACCAUGGCAAAAAGCUGGGCGUUAAUGGCUGGGUGAAGAAUACUCGACAGGGAACGGUGAUCGGUCAGGUGCAGGGCCCACCGGACAAGGUCAAAGAGAUCUCACCAGCGCGAGAUGCAAGUGAACAGAAAAUGUGUUUCCUUAUUAAAUAUUUAAAAAGACAGGGCACACUGGAUGGAUGAGAAUCACACACACACACAAGUAUACACACACUCACACCACUAUGCAUAUUUACUCUGCCCCCCCUCUCGCUCUCUCUCUUUCCAACGUAUCAUCCUUUCCCACUAGCUCUCCACUUACUCUCAUUCAAUACUGUAAAUGUAUCUGCACACAAGCUUCCUCCGCUGUUUUGCUUUUCAGCAUGCAUGACACUUGCACUGGUGUUUUAAUAAACAAGGUAUACAUAAUGUGCUUUAAUGAUCUAGUUACAUAUACAGAAAAUAUAUAAUCUAAAUAUACAUGACAUAUCUUGCAGGAGUGAGCCUGCUGUCACAGAGGUUCCAAGUGUGCACUCUGAAAAGAAAUGGUUUGAUUUUACCAUUUAGGACCUCAUCUGGAUAGCCAACGGGGCAGAGAGACACACACACACACACACACACACAUACAAACACACAGUCAGAGUGAGGAGCUUUUACUAGUCUUAGCCAUACAGCAUGCAAUAGAGAUGAGGAGGAGGAGGAGGGAGGGAGCCCCUCCUGUGGACUAGACAAAGCCAUUAGGUACAUACAUGGGUGGAGCUGUUUCUGCGUAGUGGAGACUACAGUACAGGCGAGGCAAGGCGUAGGGUGUCAGGAUGAGUUUGUGCUACCGAGGGUGUUGGUGUGGACAAUGUGAAUGGAGAGGCACGCCGGUGUUCACGCUGUCAGAGACGUCGGACUUUCCUUUUCUUUUCGAGUGGCUGUUGUUUGUUUGCCCAUCCUGGGAACUAUGGGACCGUCAUGCAGUAUUUACACAGUUACAUGCACACACACACACACACACAUACACACACACACACAC